UAACCAGACGUACGACGAUGCGACAAAUAUGACAUGUUUACACGUGUCAUAUUUCGCAUUGUUGACGUUUUGUUGU